ACGCACGCUGGCGGCGUGCCUAAUACCUUCCAGUAGCACGCUGAAGAGAGGAGCUUGCUCUUCUUGGAUGAGUUGCGAACGGGUGAGUAACGCGUAGGUAACCUGCCUUGUAGCGGGGGAUAACUAUUGGAAACGAUAGCUAAUACCGCAUAACAAUGGAUGACACAUGUCAUUUAUUUGAAAGGGGCAAUUGCUCCACUACAAGAUGGACCUGCGUUGUAUUAGCUAGUAGGUGAGGUAAUGGCUCACCUAGGCGACGAUACAUAGCCGACCUGAGAGGGUGAUCGGCCACACUGGGACUGAGACACGGCCCAGACUCCUACGGGAGGCAGCAGUAGGGAAUCUUCGGCAAUGGGGGCAACCCUGACCGAGCAACGCCGCGUGAGUGAAGAAGGUUUUCGGAUCGUAAAGCUCUGUUGUAAGUCAAGAACGGGUGUGAGAGUGGAAAGUUCACACUGUGACGGUAGCUUACCAGAAAGAGACGGCUAACUACGUG
rnacentral:rRNA from 1 species